CCAGUAUGGAAAUUGGGCUUAUGGGCUAGUGUAGAAACUGGGCUUAGGGGCCAGACGAAAUUGGGCUUAUGGGUCAUUGUGAAACUGGACUUAAGGGCUAGUGUGGAACCUGGGCUUAGGGGCCAGGUAAAACUGGGCUUAGGGGCCAGUAUGAAAAUUGGGCUUAUGGGUGUUGAGACUUUGGCAAGCGUACCAAGUCGUGCAAGUAGUAAAACCGGUAAGACUGGAUAUC
rnacentral:lncRNA from 1 species